GGCUAACUCCGUGCCAGCAGCCGCGGUAAUACGUAGGGUGCGAGCGUUGUCCGGAAUUACUGGGCGUAAAGAGCUCGUAGGCGGUUUGUCACGUCGUCUGUGAAAUCCUAGGGCUUAACCCUGGACGUGCAGGCGAUACGGGCUGACUUGAGUACUACAGGGGAGACUGGAAUUUCUGGUGUAGCGGUGGAAUGCACAGAUAUCAGGAAGAACACCGAUGGCGAAGGCAGGUCUCUGGGUAGU
rnacentral:rRNA from 1 species